rnacentral:rRNA from 1 species
AUGCCUCGCAACGUGACCCUCAAGUACAUACCCCAUGACUCGACCCGGCGCGAUAGAUUCAAGAAGCGCCUCAAGGGCCUCAUGAAGAAGGCGGAUGAACUAGCCAUCCUGUGCGAUGGCAAGACCUGCGUACUGGUGUACGAAGAGGGUAAGGCGGCGCCGGAGGUGUUCCCUUCCCAUGCCGAGGCAGUGGGUAUCCUGAAUCAAUUCAAAAGCCUGCCAGAGCUGGGGCUGUGCAAGGAGGCGAUGAACCAGGAGAGCUUCAUCACCAAGCGCAUUGAGAAGCUCCAGGACCAGAUCGACAAGACGCGUCGUGAGUGCGAGGACAGCGAGACCAGGUACCUCCUUCACAAAAUCAUGCAUGGCGACCCCUCGGUCCUCGUUGGCCUCAACAUCGAGCAGCUCAUCAAAGUUGGCUACAAAGUGGACGUGCUUCUCAAGAGCAUCACCGAACGCAUGGCAAAAAUCCAUUCCCAUGGGCCACCGGCAACAUAG